CGAAGAUUUAUAGAAGUUGCUGGACACUGCUCAAGAUUGAUUUUUAAACUUCUUGUGCGUGUGACAGCGGCUAUUGUAAAUUCUUCAUUGCAUCUGG
rfam:Asian citrus Psyllid, Diaphorina citri - Florida Strain, whole genome shotgun sequence.